rnacentral:rRNA from 1 species
CACCAGACUCCUACGGGAGGCAGCAGUGGGGGAUAUUGCACAAUGGAGGAAACUCUGAUGCAGCGACGCCGCGUGAGGGAAGACGGUCUUCGGAUUGUAAACCUCUGUCUUUGGGGAAGAAAAUGACGGUACCCAAAGAGGAAGCUCCGGCUAACUACGUGCCAGCAGCCGCGGUAAUACGGAAGGUCCGGGCGUUAUCCGGAUUUAUUGGGUUUAAAGGGAGCGUAGGCCGGCUUUUAAGUCAGCUGUGAAAGUCCGCGGCUCAACCGUGGAAUUGCAGUUGAAACUGGAGGCCUUGAGUGCACACAGGGAUGCCGGAAUUCAUGGUGUAGCGGUGAAAUGCUUAGAUAUCAGGAAGAACUCCGAUCGCGAAGGCAAGUGUCCGGGGUGCAACUGACGCUGAGGCUCGAAAGUGCGGGUAUCAAACAGGAUUAGAUACCCGCGUAG